rnacentral:snRNA from 1 species
AUGUGAGUGUGAACUGGCUGUGACGCCUGUUAGCCUACUGAUUGUCAGAGUUGAUUCUGCAAUCUGACUGACUACUUAGGUGCCCGCCCCCGUCCUAUGUGUGUGUCCCUCCAGAAGCUUCCUGUUGAUUGAAGAGGACAACCCUCCCUCAUAAAGAGACCAUUCUUUGGUCAAGGGUAUCUGAGUAGCCGUGCUCCCUUGUAAGAACCUCCAAACAAGCUCUCAAGGUCAGUUUGCAGGACACAGGGAGGUGAGCUUCCAGAACUCUAGACACAGCCCAUCGAGGCAGGCAACACUCUACUG